AUGGCAUUGGUUCUACGAUACGUGAGUGGUGGACUGUCAUAUGAGAGGUUUGUAGGUGUUGUUCACGUUGAGGAGACUACAACUACUUUUCUCAAGUCCAAAAUUGAUUUUAUGAUUGCAAAGUUUGGUUUGAGUUUAAAACAAGUGAGAGGACAAGGGUAUGACGGUGCAAGCAACAUGGCAGCUAUUGCAAAGAAAAUUACUGAUGUUGGAGAUUUCUUUGAUAUGAUAUCACUUAUGGCGACUGUUGUUGGAUCAUCUUGCAAGAGAAAGGAUAAACUUAGAGUGGAUCAUCAAGAAGAAGUGAGGAAAUCAAUUGGUAAGGGUGAGAUUGCUACAGGAACUGGACUAAAUCAAGAGCUUUCUCUUCAAAGGCUAGGAGAUACUAGAUGGAACUCUCACUAUAGAACUUUGGUAGGUUUGUCAAAGAUGUUUCCAUCGGUGGUUAAAGUGCUAGAAUAUGUUGAGGAAGAUGGUACUAAUCCUAUUAAGAAACGUCAAGCCAGUGGGAUUCUGAAAUAUUUUCAAUCAUUUGAUUCUGUAUUCUAUCUACACAUGAUGAUGAUUAUAUUUGCUUUAACAAAUGGGCUAUCUAAAACAUUUCAGAGAAAGGAU
rnacentral:rRNA from 1 species